GGAUGUGAGGCAGAUCUGGCUGUGACAUCUGACACCCCAUUGAUUGCCAGGGUUGAUUUGGCUGAUCUGGCUGGCUAGGUGGGUGUCCCCUUCUUUCCUCAUCACUCCAUGUGCAUCCCUCCCGAAGCUGCAGGCUCAAUAGAACAGGAUGACCCUCCCUGAAUAGAGGAGGACUGGUCUUCCGUCAAGGGUAUAGGAGGAGCUGUGCUCCCCUGCUAGAACCUCCAAGCAAGCUUUCAAAUUUCACAUUUUAUAUUUGUAUGGAUAGAUAUAUAUGUAUGUAUAUUAUAUCGAUAAUAUGUAAGUAUAUUAUAUAUAUGUAU
rnacentral:snRNA from 1 species